rnacentral:misc_RNA from 1 species
GUUCCGUAGGUGAACCUGCGGAAGGAUCAUUACCGAGUGAGGGCCCUCUGGGUCCAACCUCCCACCCGUGUUUAUUAUACCUUGUUGCUUCGGCGGGCCCGCCGUAUGGCCGCCGGGGGGCUUCUGCCCCCGGGCCCGCGCCCGCCGAAGACAUCUCGAACUCUGUCUGAAGAUUGUAGUCUGAGUAAAAGUAUAAAUUAUUUAAAACUUUCAACAACGGAUCUCUUGGUUCCG